rnacentral:rRNA from 1 species
CAGCAGCCACGGGAAUACAGAGGGUGCAAGCGUUAAUCGGAAUUACUGGGCGUAAAGCGCGCGUAGGUGGUUUGUUAAGUUGGAUGUGAAAGCCCCGGGCUCAACCUGGGAACUGCAUCCAAAACUGGCAAGCUAGAGUACGGUAGAGGGUGGUGGAAUUUCCUGUGUAGCGGUGAAAUGCGUAGAUAUAGGAAGGAACACCAGUGGCGAAGGCGACCACCUGGACUGAUACUGACACUGAGGUGCGAAAGCGUGGGGAGCAAACAGGAUUAGAUACCCGCGUAGUCCCGUCUCUUAUACA